UGUACUUGGGAAGGGGAAGCACCAAUGCCACUGUAGGAAGAGUUGUGAAACACGAUUGUGCAAGUGAUUUUAGCUCCUGUUUUCUCCUCACUCUUCCAGGAGGUUGCUCACAGAGCAAAACCUCCCUGCAGGAUCUGUUUUGUAAAUCUGCCAAAAGGUGAAGACAACCACUUCAUCUGCGAGGGAAUAUUCAUUUAUGGGGCUUCAGUGGCGACAAAGAUUUGAAAAAAGGAAAAUAGUCUUAAAUCCUUCCUCAGGAGAGAGAUUUACUUCCAGUUUUAUUCAGUGGUGCUGUAUUCCAGAAGUUGGUGUUGUCAGGAUCCAUCUGUUGGUGGAAUGUCCUGCCCUGGGUUGUCUUGCCUUUGGGAUAACCUUUUUCCCUGCAGUGAAAGGGAUUGCUUUGAGUCUGUGAGUUCUCAGCUCAUGAAGAACUUCCUGGCUGAGGGGAUGAAGACAUUAAAGCCUUUGCCCACUCAGGGCAAUUGCUCUGGAGACAAACACAGCUCAGAAAACAAAUGUUGUGAGCUACCUGGGAGUUCUGGUUCACUAAACACAUGA
rnacentral:lncRNA from 1 species